UUAUGUUCUUGAAACUUAAAAAAUUUGGCGGUAUUUUAGUCUAUCCAGAGGAACCUGUUUUGUAAUCGAUAAUCCACGAUGGACCUUACUUAAAUUUGUUAUCAGUUUAUAUACCGUCGUUAUCAGAAUAUUUUAUAAGAAUUAUAAUAUUCAAUAAUUUUAAAAAGAAUUUAUAUCAGAUCAAGGUGUAGCUUAUAUUUAAGUAAUAAUGGGUUACAAUAAAUUUAUUUAAACGGAUAAAAUUAUGAAAAAAUUUUUGAAGGUGGAUUUGGUUGUAAAAUUAUAAAGAUUAAUAAUUUGAUUUUAGCUCUAAAAUAUGUACACAUCGCCCGUCGCUCUUAUUAUUAAGGUAAGAUAAGUCGUAACAUAGUAGAUGUACUGGAAAGUGUAUCUAGAAUGA
rnacentral:rRNA from 1 species